rnacentral:pre_miRNA from 15 species
AUUCACUCUAGUGCUUUAUGGCUUUUUAUUCCUAUGUGAUAGUAAUAAAAGUCUCAUGUAGGGAUGGAAGCCAUGAAAUACAUUGUGAAAA